UAGGGAAUCUUCCGCAAUGGACGCAAGUCUGACGGAGCAACGCCGCGUGAGUGAAGAAGGAUUUCGGUUCGUAAAACUCUGUUGUUAGCGAAGAACAGCGCAUAGAGUAACUGUUAUGCGUGUGACGGUAUCUAACCAGAAAGCCACGGCUAACUACGUGCCAGCAGCCGCGGUACUACGUAGGUGGCAAGCGUUGUCCGGCUUUAUUGGGCGUAAAGCGAGCGCAGGCGGUCAAUUAAGUCUGAUGUGAAAGCCCCCGGCUCAACCGGGGAGGGUCAUUGGAAACUGGUUGACUUGAGUGCAGAAGAGGAGAGUGGAAUUCCAUGUGUAGCGGUGAAAUGCGUAGAUAUAUGGAGGAACACCAGGGGCGAAGGCGACUCUCUGGGCUGUAACUGACGCUGGGGCUCGAAAGCGUGGGUAGCAAACAGG
rnacentral:rRNA from 1 species